rnacentral:rRNA from 1 species
ACGUGGACCCGUAAUCCGGGUUGCGGACAGUGUCUGGUGGGUAGUUUGACUGGGGCGGUCUCCUCCUAAAGAGUAACGGAGGAGCACGAAGGUUGGCUAAUCCUGGUCGGACAUCAGGAGGUUAGUGCAAUGGCAUAAGCCAGCUUGACUGCGAGCGUGACGGCGCGAGCAGGUGCGAAAGCAGGUCAUAGUGAUCCGGUGGUUCUGAAUGGAAGGGCCAUCGCUCAACGGAUAAAAGGUACUCCGGGGAUAACAGGCUGAUACCGCCCAAGAGUUCAUAUCGACGGCGGUGUUUGGCACCUCGAUGUCGGCUCAUCACAUCCUGGGGCUGAAGUAGGUCCCAAGGGUAUGGCUGUUCGCCAUUUAAAGUGGUACGCGAGCUGGGUUUAGAACGUCGUGAGACAGUUCGGUCCCUAUCUGCCGUGGGCGCUGGAGAACUGAGGGGGGCUGCUCCUAGUACGAGAGGACCGGAGUGGACGCAUCACUGGUGUUCGGGUUGUCAUGCCAAUGGCACUGCCCGGUAGCUAAAUGCGGAAGAGAUAAGUGCUGAAAGCAUCUAAGCACGAAACUUGCCCCGAGAUGAGUUCUCCCUGACUCCUUGAGAGUCCUGAAGGAACGUUGAAGACGACGACGUUGAUAGGCCGGGUGUGUAAGCGCAGCGAUGCGUUGAGCUAACCGGUACUAAUGAACCGUGAGGCUUAACCUUACAACGCCGAAGCUGUU